GACGAACGCUGGCGGCGUGCCUAAUACAUGCAAGUCGAACGCAGUGGGGACGGGUGAGUAACACGUGGGUAACCUCCCAUCAGAGGGGAUAACACUUGGAAACAGGUGCUAAACCGAUACUGAUGGAUGAACACGCGGUGCAUUAGCUAGUGGGUGAGGUAACGGCUCACCAAGGCCACGAUGCAUAGCCGCCCUGUGAGGGUGCUCGGCCUCACUGUGACUGAGCCACUGCCCAGACUCCUACGUGAGGCAGCAUUAGGGAAUCUUCGGCAAUGGACGCAAGUCUGACCGAGCGACGCCGCUUGAGUGAAGAAGGUUUUCGGAUCGUAAAACUCUGUUGUUAGAGAAGCGGUAUCUAACCAGAAAGCCACGGCUAACUACGUGCCAGCAGCCGCGGUAACUC
rnacentral:rRNA from 1 species